AAGUAAAAGUCGUAACAAGGUUUCCGUAGGUGAACCUGCGGAAGGAUCAUUAAUGUAACCGGACCGGUCCUUUGCCGUAAAACGCAUUGGAUGGGAAUGGGAGAUAUCAUACACCCUGUGUUUAUUUACCUUUGUUGCUUUGGCGGGCCGUUCUUUUAGGCGUCGGCCUCGGCUGAUCGCGCCCGCCAGAGGACCCAAACUCUUUUAUCAGUGAUGUCUGAGUAUUAUAUAAUAGUUAAAACUUUCAACAACGGAUCUCUUGGUUCUGGCAUCGAUGAAGAACGCAGC
rnacentral:misc_RNA from 1 species